AAGCGCCGUUGGAGAGAGGAGAGUAGCUCCCAGCUCAGCCAAAGCCCUGCCCUGCAGCACCUCCAUCCCACCAGACUAGAAGUGGGACAGGACACCUCCCUGCCUGUCACUGAAUGACGAAGGAGGCCCAGAAACCCAUGGCCACAGACGCUAAGUGCCAUGUACCUGAUGUUCAAGAAGUCUGGCUCUCCGUGUCAAGGCAGCAGGGCAGCUGAGGCUUAGCAUCAAGCCAAAGGGCAAGCCAGUUCCUGCCGAUUGCUGUGUAUGUUGGCUCAAAGGUCCUCAUCUUGUUUUCUGAAAAGACAUUUUCCCAACUUCCUCAACUGCUAAUGAAGUACCAAAUCUGCAAAUCACAGUGGAUUGGCUUAAAGGCUUAGAG